UCCAGGACCGUGGCCUUAGGAAUGCUGGGAAUCCUAUCCUUUCUGAGUAGCCAGGCCUGGACACCCACACACCAUGAUGGCUCCAGCAACGCAGCCCAGCCUGAGCUCUGACUCAGGGGUGUGACUUCUGCUACAGUCUUCCAAAAUGAGUGGGAGAUGAUAGGAGUGGAUUACGCGGGCCUCUCACUGUUGUGGCCUCUCCUGUUGCAGAGCACAGGCUCUGGACACGCAGGCUCAGCGGCCAUGGCUCACGAGCCUAGCCGGUCCACGGCAUGUGGGAUCUUCCUGGACCGGGGCAUGAACCUGCAUCCCCUGCAUCGGCAGGCAGACUCUCCACCACUGCGCCACCAGGGAAGCCCGGGCGCCCAGGUGUUCAAUCAGCUGCUCUGCACUGGACACCCCCAGCAAGACCGAGCUGACACCCUCACUGCGGAGACACCACGCUGGGCCAGAGAAGGAAAUAAAAAAGAACUGGUCGGAAAGAGUGAGCACGCAGACUUCAGAGGUGUCUCCGAGGAAGAGGGUCCUCCCCAGAGACAAACCAGUCUGCGGUUUGGUAGCAUCUCAGGAGGAGACAAGGCCUCUGCAGGGUCCAGGGCUGGCAGUGUCUCACCAAUAGCAAGCUGCGCCACGGUGCAGCCCAGCUGGUGAGCGAUGGGGAGAAGGUCCAUGACUUUGGCUUGUUGCUUCUUGCCAUCCUCACUCUGCACUUUGUCUUUGUGCCACUGGUAGCCCUGGAGGCCAAGGAGAAUCAGCAAAAGACGACUCCUCAGAUAGUCCACUCCUGCUGUCCUGAGCCCCCAGAUCUCACCUUGAUGUUGACCCUGCAGGUAUCUGGGACUCGCCCAUCAUACUUGCUAGUGAUGAGGCCACAGGCAAGAGGGGACCAGGUGACUGAGCCAACACCUAAGAGGAAGAGGAUUGGAUGUGGGAAAGGGAUCUAGGUGAUGGUGAGGCCGAGGGAAAGGUAGGGAUGAGGGGACUUCGAACCAAUCUUGUGGUAGAGCUCUGGCAGCUGCAUCUCCACCUUCUCUCUCUGAAACAGAUGGUGCUCAGCUUGUUCACACACUGGAGGAAUCAGGUUGAACUGUCUGGCCAUGGAGUAGGCCUCCUGAGUUGGGGUGGGGAAAAGAUGGGGGUCAGAGCACUCCUUCCAUUUUCUUCCACUCCCCCCCCUCCAGUAGAGUGGGGUUUGGAGUGGCCAUGUGAAAAGUGGGAACAAGUUGUAGGACGGCGAGGUGGGUGGCACACUCACCAUGAUUUCUGCAGCCCCCCAUCGGGAUGUCCCCCAGUAUAGGGCCAGGCCCUGGUUGAUGACAUAGGUCAUGGCUCGCACAAUCUCUAGGCACAUAGGAGAGGGAGAGCCUCACUGUCAGACCCCUGGCAUCCUGGGUUCCAGAUGUGCAGACCUCUGCCUGCCCCACCAAGGCCCCACUCAUCCCUGUGGAGUCGGAGGGGUUGGUAUCUGCUUUUCACCUCCCUCCCCGUCCAAGUCCUGGGGUCUGAGCCUCUGCUGUGGAGCUUGGGUGGCCUCCUGAGCAGGGGCUGGCUUCUGCUGAGGGUUUUAGAAGUGCUCAGUUUUGAAGGGCUGUCAGGGUUGGGGUGCUGCUUUUACCCUCCAUGGGACUGUUGGGGUCUGAGCGAUUGGCGAAGAUGAUGUCCACAUAUCCCAGCUGGAGGCGUUCCAGGGAUCCUCGCAAGCCUGGGGUAAAAGCAUGGGGCGAGGAAGGUAAGCUCUUCAGCUUCAGUUUCCUAAGAAUUUAGACCUUAUCCUUUUGCCAUGGCCACCUAAAUCCCGGCUUCCCUAUUCAAAGCCUCAGACUCAGAGCUUCAGAGAAUGUUCCCAACUCCUCUGGCUUCCAUACCCAGCCACCUCCAGUUCCCAGCCCCUAACUCUUACCCUCAAUGAUGUGUUUGCGGCUCAAGCCUCGCUCAGUUUCUGCCCUGUAGGAAAAGGUAAGUCAGAGAUGAGGUGUGUCAAAGAUAAGGGACCAGGGCUGGCCUGGAAUCAUGAGGAACUGGUAUUUCAGGGGUCCUCACAGGCAGGAUGCAGACCUGGGGUAGCAGGUGCAGGGACUGCUGUCCCCACCCCCAUCCCAUGCACCUUCACACAGUCUCUGCAGAUCUCCCCAAUUAUAGUGAGGCAGCCACUUACUGUCCUCCCCCAAAAAUCUUGGUGGUGAUGACAUAGCUUGAUCUCCUGGAAGAAAGAGAAAUGGUAGAACGGGCAAGAAAAGGAUUUUUGGAUGAUCAUGUCCCCAGCAACCUCCCGGCCCUCCCCACCCACCCAACAUGUCUUACCUCCAACCUUUGCUCUUGAGGAUGUUGCCUAGGGUUCUUUCAGCCCUGGAAGGAAGACAGUGUAGAAGCACUGACCCCUCCAAAGUGGAUCAGUUUCUUUCCUUCCUCCCCACCUUUCCCUUCAACUAAUUUCCUCUCCUGUAAAAUGGAGCAUAAACAAGGAGCCCAUUGGGCUGUCAGCCCCUCCUAGACUAAGUAAGAGGGGCUCCCAAUCUAGGGUUCUAGUCGUAUCAUUUUCACUCAUUCAUUCAACAAAUGUCAGCUGUGCAUCACUGUGUACCAAGCUCUGUUCUGGGUGCUGAAGGGAUAGAAUAGGAUGAGAGAAGAGGGACCAACUAUAGUGGAGCCAGGGAGGACACUGCCUCGUCUGGUUCCAACCAUUUGAAUUGCCCUCCCCCUUCUUUUAGUCUUUGCAAAGUUCCACCCAUCCUCCAAAAUUUAGCUUGGUCCUCCAAAAUUUAGCUUGGAUUCUGCCUCAUUCUAUGGAAAAUGUUCUCUGAUUGCUGUAGUCUAUGGUCAGUCCUUGUCAGCUUCCAUAGCUCUUAUUGGCUACACAAUUUUUUGACACUUAAUCAUGAGUUAAUGUGUGACAAGUCUUAAGUUAUGGUGGGCUCUUACUGAAGUGUUACUGUUAUUUAAUCUUUCGUAUCUCCUUGUCUUUUGGUUUGUUUGUUUAACCACUUAGACUGUGAGCUUUUUGAGGGCAUAUUGAUGUCAUCCUUCAAUCAGAUACCUGCUCUGUGACAGGCUCUGCAUAGGUACUUAGGUGACGUGGGAAAGCGCAAGACAAGUUCUGUGGAGGGAGGAGCCUCCCAGGUGAGCAGUGAAUAUGGCCUUGUAAACGAGUAAUUGAUGAACUCUGUGUCAGAGGGUAGUGUAAAGUGCUUUGGGAGCUGAUGGGGAUAGUGACCAACUUUGGGGAGCUGGGCAAAGGCUUCUUGGAAGAGCUGACAUCUGGGACAAGUCUUAAAGAUAAGCAGAAGAGUUUGCCAGAAGAAGAGGCAGGAGUAGUCAUCCUAGGUUUUUACUAUUUGCAGCGUGAAGCCAUGUGUGCUGUGGUAUAGUAUGUUUGAAAUUUAUCUUUGUCAUCCUCACAUAGUUGCACAUAAAUGACGUCCAGGAAA